GAUGAAGAACGUAGCGAAAUGCGAUACGUAAUGUGAAUUGCAGAAUUCAGUGAAUCAUCGAAUCUUUGAACGCACAUUGCGCCUGCCAGCACUCUGGCAGGCAUGCCUGUUCGAGCGUCAUUUCAACCAUCAAGCCCUAGGCUUGCGUUGGAGCCCUGCGGCUGCCGCAGGCCCCUAAAAGCAGUGGCGGGCUCGCUAUCACACCGAGUGCAGUAGAUUACUCUUCGCUCAGGGCGUGUGGUGGGUUCCAGCCGUGAAACCCCCUACUUCUCAAGGUUGACCUCGGAUCAGGUAGUAAUACCCGCUGAACUUAAGCAUAUCAAUAAGCGGAGGA
rnacentral:misc_RNA from 1 species